GACGAACGCUGGCGGCGUGCUUAACACAUGCAAGUCGAACGGAAAGGCCCUGCUUUUGUGGGGUGCUCGAGUGGCGAACGGGUGAGUAACACGUGAGUAGCCUGCCCUUGACUUUGGGAUAACUUCAGGAAACUGGGGCUAAUACCGGAUAGGAGCUCCUGCUGCAUGGUGGGGGUUGGAAAGUUUCGGCGGUUGGGGAUGGACUCGCGGCUUAUCAGCUUGUUGGUGGGGUAGUGGCUUACCAAGGCUUUGACGGGUAGCCGGCCUGAGAGGGUGAACGGCCACAUUGGGACUGAGAUACGGCCCAGACUCCUACGGGCGGCAGCAGUGAGGAAUAUUGCACAAUGGGCGGAAGCCUGAUUCAGCAACGCCGCGUGCGGGAUGACGGCCUUCGGGUUGUAAACCGCUUUCGCCUGUGACGAAGCGUGAGUGACGGUAAUGGGUAAAGAAGCACCGGCUAACUACGUG
rnacentral:rRNA from 1 species